CUGACAUCAAUGAUGAAAUGCCUGUAAACUCUAUGAAGGGGAUGGGCAUUUCUGAAAAACUGUUCAG
rfam:Danio rerio chromosome 5, GRCz11 reference primary assembly.